UACGUAGGGGGCAAGCGUUGUUCGGAAUUACUGGGCGUAAAGGGCGCGUAGGCGGCAUGGCAAGUCAGGAGUGGAAGGCCUGGGCUCAACCGAGGAACUGCUUUUGAUACUGCCAAGCUAGAGUGCGGAAGGGGCAACUGGAAUUCCCAGUGUAGCGGUGAAAUGCGUAGAUAUUGGGAAGAACACCUGAGGCGAAGGCGGGUUGCUGGGCCGACACUGACGCUGAGGCGCGAAAGCCAGGGGAGCAAACGGG
rnacentral:rRNA from 1 species